UACGUAGGGUGCAAGCGUUGUCCGGAAUUAUUGGGCGUAAAGAGCUCGUAGGCGGUUUGUCGCGUCUGCUGUGAAAACUCGGGGCUCAACUCCGAGCUUGCAGUGGGUACGGGCAGACUAGAGUGCGGUAGGGGAGACUGGAAUUCCUGGUGUAGCGGUGGAAUGCGCAGAUAUCAGGAGGAACACCGGUGGCGAAGGCGGGUCUCUGGGCCGUAACUGACGCUGAGGCGCGAAAGCGUGGGGAGCAAACGGG
rnacentral:rRNA from 1 species